AACGAACGCUGGCGGCAUGCCUAACACAUGCAAGUCGAACGAGACCUUCGGGUCUAGUGGCGCACGGGUGCGUAACGCGUGGGAACCUUCCUUUAGGUUCGGAAUAACUCAGAGAAAUUUGAGCUAAUACCGGAUGAUGUCUUCGGACCAAAGAUUUAUCGCCUUUAGAUGGGCCCGCGUUGGAUUAGCUAGUUGGUGGGGUAAAGGCCUACCAAGGCGACGAUCCAUAGCUGGUCUGAGAGGAUGAUCAGCCACACUGGGACUGAGACACGGCCCAGACUCCUACGGGAGGCAGCAGUGGGGAAUAUUGGAAAAUGGGGGAAAGCCUGAUCCAGCAAUGACGCGUGAGUGAUGAAGGCCUUAGGGUUGUAAAGCUCUUUUAACCGAGAUGAUAAUGACAGUAUCGGGAGAAUAAGCCCCGGCUAACUACGUG
rnacentral:rRNA from 1 species